rnacentral:rRNA from 1 species
GAUGAACGCUGGCGGCGUGCCUAAUACAUGCAAGUCGAGCGAACGGACGAGAAGCUUGCUUCUCUGAUGUUAGCGGCGGACGGGUGCGUAACACGUGGAUAACCUAACUAUAAGAAUGGGAUAACUUCGGGAAACCGGAGCUAAGAACGGAUAAUAUUUUGAACUGGAUUGUUCAAAAGUGAAAGAAGGUAUUUGUUACACUUAAAGAUGGACCCGCAUGGCAUUCGCUAGUUGGUAAGGUAACGGCUUAGCAAGGCUACGAGGCAAACCCGACCUGAGAGGGUGACUGCACAGACUGUAUCUGAGACACGGUACAGACUCCUACGGGGAGCAGCAGUAGAGAAUCUUCCGCGAUGCGGGAAAGCCUGACGGAGCAACGCCGCGUGAGUGAUGAAGCUCUUCUGACCCUAAAACUCUGUAAUUAUGGAGGAACAUAAGUGUAAGUAACUGUGCUCAUCUUGACGGUACCGAAACAGAAAGCCACGGCUAACUACGUG